rnacentral:lncRNA from 1 species
GUGAGGUUGAUUAAUUCCUGUUGUGAGGUUUGAGGGCCAGAUUCCAAUUUUUGAAGCUUUUUUCUAAAGUCAGGAGCUGACUGGGUGAUAAAAUGCAUACUGAGAAUAAGACAGCCUUCUGGGCUUUCAGGGUCUAGGGCUGUAAAGCAUCUAAUGAUAACUGCCAAAUGGGCCAUGAACUGGGCUUUGUCUUCGUCUUUACCUUGGGUAGUUUCUUUAAGUUUGUCACAAUUAACAGAUUUGUAUGCUGCCUUUUUAAGCCCUUCAACUAGGCAGGAAAUCAUGUAAUCUGCCUAGCUAUACCUGGGGGACCUGCCUGAUAGUGACAUUGGGGAUCUUCUCGGGGAACCACUUUAAUGCCUUCCUGGAGGCUGGGCUCAUGAUGCUGGUGGGUGUCUGAAUGAGAUUGGGUUAGAGAAAAAAAAAAACUUUCCCAUUCAUCUGGGGAGAGGGUAGAAGUUAGGAUGACAUUUAAAUCACUCCAGGUUACAUUGUAGGACUGGGUGAAAUAUUGGAAUGCCUGUAUAUAUUUGGUGGGGUCUGAUGAGAAGGCACCUAAGCAUUGAUUUAUUUGGGAAACUUCUGAUAGAGAAAAUGGUACAUGCACUCUGACGAUGCCCUCAGCUCCAGCCACUUCUUGAAGAGGAAAUUGUUGGGCAGGGGUGGGGGAGUAUUUGACAACAAACAAAAUUGUAAGCUGGACCGGGUGUGGGGAGGGGAGGUGAUAGAAGGGUUUUAGAUCGGGGAGCAGAGACUGAAGAAGAGUUGUAGCCUGAUUCAGCCUGGCAGCCAUCUGGACAUUUAUGUGUAGGUCACAGGGGUUACAAUGGCUGAGCUUUGGCUCAGAGACCUGACAAAGCCCAGAAGCUAAACAGGGUUUGGCCUGCCUGGGGCUUGGAUGGGGCACCGCCUGGGGAUACUGGGCCCAGGACCUCCCAGUGGGUUUCCGUCCCAGCAGCCCGGGCGCCACAGCAGUCUGACAGCGCCCCAUCCCAGAAGCUCACCUGCACCCCUGCUGUGGAAGAAAACCUACCUAUAGGGGUACUCCCUGGCAGCCCAUGAAGCCAUAGUAGCCUGAAAGUGCUCAAGCCCAGAAAACAAUAGUUACUUCUGUGAGAUGAAUGGAAACUAUGUUCCAAUGGGAUCCAAAAUGUCCCUUCAAAAAUUCUACAAAAAGACUGCUUCCAAUCUGCUUAAUCAGAACAAAGGUUUAACUCCAUGAGAUGCAUCCAAACAUUGCAAAGCAUUUUCACAUAUAGCUUUUUUCUAGUUUUUAUCACGGGAUAUUCAUUUUUUCACUAUAGCCCCAAUUAGCUCCAAAAUGUCCAUUCAUAGAUUUUACAAAAACAGUGUUUCUAACAUGCUGAAUGAAAACAAAGGUUUAACUCUGUGAUAUGAAUCCACACAUUGGAAAGUGUUUUCACAGAUAGUUUGUUUCUAGGUUUUAUCAUGGAAUAUUCAGUUUUUCACUAUAGGUUUCAAUUAGCUCCAAAACAUCCAUUCGUAGAUGCUACAAAAAGAGUGUUUCCAACCUGCUGAAUCAAAACAAAGGUUUAAUUCUGAGAUAAAUCCACACAUCACAAAGCGGUUUCACAGAUACCUUGUUUCUAGUUUCUAUCGUGGAAUGUUUGGUUUUCUUACUAUGGGCCUCAAUGGGCUCUGAAAGUUCCCUUAGAUAUUACAAAAAGAUUGUUUACAACCUGCUGAAUCAAAGCAAUGUUUUAACUCUGUGAGAGAAAUCCAAAUGUCACAAAACAUUGUUAGAGGUAGCUUGCUUCUAGUUUUCAUCACUAGAUAAUCAGUUUCUUAAUAUAGGCCUCAAUGAGCUCAGAAAUGUCCCUUUGUAGAUUCUACAAGAAGACAGUUUCCAACCUGCUUAAUCAGAACAAAGGUUUACCUCUAUGAGAUGAAUCCACACAUUGCAGAGAAUUUUAACAGAUAGCUUGUUUCUGGAGUUUACUGCAGAAUAUUUGGUUUUCCACUAUAGGCUUCAAUGAGCUCAAAAAUCGCCCUUCGUAGAUUCACAAGAAGAGUGUUUCCAACCUGCUGAAUCAAAACAAAGUUUUAACUCUGCGAGAUGAAUCAACAUAUCACAAAGUAUUUUCAAGGAUAUCUUCUUUCUAGGUUUCAUUAUGAGAUAUUCCCUUUUUAACUAUGUGUUUCAAUGGGCUUCAGAAUGUCCCCUUGUAGUUUGUUCAAAAAGAGUGUUUCCAACCUUCUGAAUAAAAAGAAAAGUUUAACUCUGUGAGAUGAAACCACAUUUGAAGAGCAUUUUGACAGAUUGCUUGUUUCUAGGUUGUAUCAUGAGAUAUUUGUUUCUUCACUAUAUUUUCCAAGGGGCUCUGAAAUGUCCCCUUGUAGAUUCUACAAGAAGAGUGCUCCAACCUGCUGAAUCAAAACAUAUGUUUAACUCUGUGAGGUGAAUCCACACAUCACAAAGCAUUUUCACAGAUAGCCUACUUCUAGUUUUUAUUGUGGGAUAUUCAGUUUUUCACUACAGGCCUAAAUGGGCUUUCAAAUAUUCCUUUGUAGAUUCUAUAAAAUGAGUGUCUCCAACCUGUGGUAUCAAAACAAAUGUUUAUCUCCGUGAGAUUAAUUCACACUUCACAAUGCAUUGUUUCUAGCUUUUUGUUGUUGUUGUUGGAUAUUCCUUUUUACACCAUAUGUUUCAAUGGGCUAUGAAAUAUCCAUUCAUAAAGAGUACAAAAAAAGUGUCUCCAACCUGCUGAAUCAAAACAAAGGUUUAACCCUGUAAGAUAAAAUGACACAUUGCAAAGCAUUUUCACAGAUAGCUUGUUUUUAGUUUUUAUCAUGGGACUUUUGGUUUGUUACUCUAGGCUUCCAAGGGCUCAUGUCCCUUCAUAGAUUCUGCAGAGUGUUUUCAAUGUGCUGAAUCAAAACAACAGUUUUAGUCUGUGAGAUGAAUCCAAACAUUGAAAAGCAUUCUGAAAGACACCUUGUUUGCAGUUUUUAUCACAGGAUAUUCAGUUUUCCAAUAUAGGCAGCUCUGAGAUGUCCCAUCUUGGAUUCUACAAUUAGAGUCUGUGCAACUGCUGAAUCAAAAGAAAGGUUUAAUUCUGUGACUUGAAUCCACACAUCACAAAGCAUCAUCACAGAUAGCUUGCUACUAGUUUUUAUUGUAAGAUACUCGGUUUUUCACUAUAGAUUUAAAUGGACUCUGAAACGUGCCUUUGUAGAUUCUACAAAAAGAGCAUUUCUAACCUCCUGAAUCAAAACAACAGUUUAACUCUAUUAGAUGAAUCCACACAUUGCAAAGCAUUUUCACGGAUAGCUUGUUUCUAGUUUGUAUAACGGGAUAUUCAGUUUUUAAAUAUAGGCCUCAAUGGGCUCUUAAAUGUCACUUCGUACAUAUCACAGAGUGCUUCCAACCCUGCUGAAUAAAAAUAAAUGUUUAUCUCUGUGAGCUGAAUCAACACAUUGCAAAACAUUAUCAUGGAUAUCUAGUUUCUAAUUUUUAUCAAGAGAUAUUCAGUUUUUUACUAUAGGCAUCAAUGGUCUCUGAAAUGUCCCUUCAUCGAUUCUACAAAAAAAGUGUUUCCAAACUCCUGAAUCAAAAAAAAAAAGGUUUAACUCUAUGAGAUGAAUCCACACAUUACAAUGCACUUUCACAGAUAGUUUGUUUCUAGUUUUUAUUGUGGGAUAUUGGGUUUUUCACUAUAAGCCUCAAUGGGCCCUGAAAUGUUCACUCGUAGAUUCUAUUAAAAAAAAAAAAAAAAGGGUUUCCAACCUGCUGAAUCCAAUCUAAGGUUUAACUCUGUGAAAUGAAUCCACACAUCACAAAGAAUUUUCAGAUAGCUUGUUUCUAGUUUUUAUUGCAGAAUAUUUAGUUUUUCACUGUAGGCCUCUAUGGGCUCCAAAAUAUCCCUUCGUAGAUUCUACAAAAAAAGUGUUUCCAAACUGCUGAAUCAAAACAAAGUUUUAACUCUAUGACAUGAAUCCACACACUGCAAAGCAUUUUCACAGAUAGUUCGUUUCUAGUUUUUAUCAUGGAAUAUUACGUUUUUCACUAUACGCCUCAAUGGGA